UACGGGGGGGGCAAGCGUUGUUCGGAAUUACUGGGCGUAAAGGGCUCGUAGGUGGCCAACUAAGUCAGACGUGAAAUCCCUCAGCUUAACUGGGGAACUGCGUCUGAUACUGGAUGGCUUGAGUUCGGGAGAGGGAUGCUGAAUUCCAGGUGUAGCGGUGAAAUGCGUAGAUAUCUGGAGGAACACCGGUGGCGAAGGCGGCAUCCUGGACCGACACUGACACUGAGGAGCGAAAGCCAGGGGAGCAAACGGG
rnacentral:rRNA from 1 species